GGGUUGUGAGGUUAAGCGACUAAGCGUACACGGUGGAUGCCCUGGCAGUCAGAGGCGAUGAAGGGCGUGCUAAUCUGCGAUAAGCGCCGGUAAGGUGAUAUGAACCGUUAUAACCGGCGAUACCCGAAUGGGGAAACCCAGUGUGAYUCGUCACACUAUCAUUAACUGAAUCCAUAGGUUAAUGAGGCGAACCGGGGGAACUGAAACAUCUAAGUACCCCGAGGAAAAGAAAUCAACCGAGAUUCCCCCAGUAGCGGCGAGCGAACGGGGAGGAGCCCAGAGCCUGAAUCAGCAUGUGUGUUAGUGGAAGCGUCUGGAAAGGCGCGCGAUACAGGGUGACAGCCCCGUACACAAAAGCGCAUGUGCUGUGAGCUCGAUGAGUAGGGCGGGACACGUGGUAUCCUGUCUGAAUAUGGGGGGACCAUCCUCCAAGGCUAAAUACUCCUGACUGACCGAUAGUGAACCAGUACCGUGAGGGAAAGGCGAAAAGAACCCCGGCGAGGGGAGUGAAAAAGAACCUGAAACCGUGUACGUACAAGCAGUGGGAGCAUGUUGAAAAAUUAGCGGAUGACCUGUGGCUGGGGGUGAAAGGCCAAUCAAACCGGGAGAUAGCUGGUUCUCCCCGAAAGCUAUUUAGGUAGCGCCUCGUGAAUUCAUCUCCGGGGGUAGAGCACUGUUU
rnacentral:rRNA from 1 species